ncrna:Enterococcus faecium EnGen0022 Enterococcus-1 RNA
CGUUUGGCUUUUUGUGCAUGGCACAAAAAUGGGGCAGUGUCCAUGUGCCGGCUUUGCAGAGGAACGGCGCAAACAAAGGCAAAUUCGACUGACGGAGGAACGGAGUCACCAAGAAUUUAAUGGACAAUGAACCAACAAACG